GGAUGCGAUCAUACCAGCACUAAAGUACCGGAUCCCAUCAGAACUCCGAAGUUAAGCGUGAUUGGGCGAGAGUAGUACUAGGAUGGGUGACCUCCUGGGAAGUCCUCGUGUUGCAUCCC
rnacentral:rRNA from 1 species